rnacentral:ncRNA from 1 species
CCAUUCACCCAUGGACCUUGCUAGUCCCGCAUAACGUUAAUGCUUACUAGAGUGAGAGAGAGAGAGAGAGAGAGAGAGAGACUCUAAAACUAAAUAUAAUCAUGAGAUCGAUAAUAAGCGAGUAUCAUGAGGGAAAGUUGAAAAUAACUCUGAAUAGAGAGUUAAAUAGUACGUGAAACUGCUUAGACGUUAAGCCCGAUGAUCCUGAAUAUCCCCUAUGGAAAAGUCCUUAUUAUGAAUUAUAUUAAUGGUCUACAUUUUUCCCAUACAAAGGGAUUGUAAUCUAGUGAUGUAAUCAUGUUGACGCUCAUUUUAAAAUCGCUGAACACUUCUUUUUUUUUUUUUUUUUCUGUUUUAUAACAUUAAGAAUAUAGGAUUGCUACAGAUGACGUAUGCAUCUGCAAGCACACGCAUAGAAGUCAUUCACGUCAAUGGGCUAACGUUAAAAUUGAUCAUUUAAUCAUUAGCGUUAAAGUUUAUUCAAAUUAUUAUUGAAUCUGUAUUUCGACACAGAUUGAUAAAUUUUUAACAAAAUUUAUUUAUUUGUUUAUACAUUGCUUAAAUAUAUUUACAUGUUUCAUAAUGACAUACGCACUUAUAUGAUUUGCGAUGCGAAAGGUUCGUUCGAGAUGCCUUCGGUACCCAUCUUGAAACACGGACCAAGGAUUCAUUUUUAGGUUUUUUAAAAACCUUACAAAAUUAACAUGGGAUUAAUUUUUAGUUCUAACAUACAUACUUAAGAAUAUUAAUUCAAGCUCUGGGCCUUCUACGCAGUUAUGUAUAAUAAUAUUUAUAUUUCUUAUGCAUCUAUCUAGAAUGUACUUUAAGCAUAUGUACGUAACCCAAAAAAUAGUAAACUCUACCUGAUGAGGUUGAAAUCAGUGAACAGACCAAUCGAAUCAUCUAGUGGCUGAUCCGCUACAAAAUUUACCUCAGGAUAGUUGGUGCACUUAAAAGCUAUGUUGCAUAAUCUUAUCUGGGAAGGUGAAUGAUUAGAAGCCAUCUAUUCUCAAACGGUAAAUGUGUAAGAAACUCACCUUUCUUGGCCAGUGGGCCAUUUUUGGUAAGCAGAACUAGCAUUAUGGGACGAGUCAAAUUAGCAACUUAUGCGGAUACCAUGAAACGUGUUGGUUGCUUAGAACAGCAGGACGGUGCACAUGAAAGUCGCAAUCCGCUGAGCAGUAUGUAACAACUGACCUGCCGAAGCACCUAGCCCUUAAAAUGAACAGCGCUUAAGUCGUACACCUAUACAUUAUCGUUUAAGUAAACGUUUGAAAUUCAAUUAAUUUGGAUUUGCAAACUUUAAAACCUUUGUGCGUGAGUAGGAGGGUACUACGGCGAUCGUAGAAGUGUUUGGCAUAAGCCUACAUGGAGCCGCCACUAAUACAGAUCUUGAUGGAAGCAGCAAAUAAUCGAAUGAAAUGUUUGAUGACUAAAGUGAACAAGGGUUUCGUGUGAAAAGUGGUUGAUCACGACUUAGUCGGUGCUAAGGUCACGGCGAAAGCUGAAAAUUUUCAAAUUAUAUUAAAAAUAUAUAUUUACAUACACAAAUAAUGUAUAAAAACACUUGAAAAUAAUUGAAAGAAAGAGGGAAUAGGGCUUCAAUUCCGAGACUUGUUGAAUAUCCGUUUGUUUGUUAAAUGUAGGCCUUGUGCUCGUCCUGGCAACAGUAACUGCCAUAUAUUAGCCAUCAGGAGAUAUCGAAAGAAUUUUCUUUUCUGUUUUAUAGUCCUACUAAGGAGGAAGUCUAUCGAAGCGAUAUGAUGGAUCGGCUAAAAGAGUAUGACAUUUACUGUUGUGUUGAUAUUUUCUCCACGGGUCUUGAAAGUUUAUGAUGGGACCACCCAAACUUCUCAACAGAGUGUACCAAUAUUCACAGUUGAUCCCCAAAGUGAAGAGUCUCUAGUC